rnacentral:rRNA from 1 species
UACAGAGGCCUCGAGCGUUAGGCGGAAUCACUGGGCUUAAAGCGUGUGUAGGCGGAUGCCUAAGUGCUUUGUGAAAUCCCACGGCUCAACCGUGGAAUUGCUUGGCAUACUGGGUGUCUUGAGCCAUCUAGGGGCGAGCGGAACAAGUGGUGGAGCGGUGAAAUGCGUAGAUAUCACUUGGAACGCCAACGGUGAAAACAGCUCGCUGGGGAUGUGCUGACGCUGAGACACGAAAGCCAGGGGAGCGAACGGG